rfam:Macaca mulatta chromosome 19, whole genome shotgun sequence.
GGUCUAGUGCUGUGUGGAAGACUAGUGAUUUUGUUGUUCUGAUGUGCUACGACAACAAAUCACAGCCGGCCUCAUAGCGCAGACU